AUAUAUUGAUGAUGUUUUUUUAUUGAUAAUGUUUUUUUUGUCUUGCACUGAUUGUAUAUCUAUUACGGGAAAGGAAAAUCAGGAGGUUACUUGUGCAGGAAAGGUACAUGUACAGGGAAUUAGAUGUGCAGGGAGGUUAUAUGUGCAGGGAAGGUGCAUGUACAGGGAAUUAGAUGUACAGGGAAAGUACAUGUACAGGGAAUUAGAUGUGCAGGGAGGUUAUAUGUGCAGGAAAGGCACAUGUACAGGGAAUUAGAUGUGCAGGGAACGUACAUGUACAAGGAGGUUAUAUGUGCAGGGAAGGUGCAUGUACAGGGAAUUACAUUUGCAGGGAAGGCACAUGUGCAGGGAAUUAAAUGUGCAGGGAAGGUACAUGUGCAGGGAAGGAACAUGUACAGGGAGGUUAUAUGUGCAGGGAGGUUACAUGUACAGGGAAUUAGAUGUGCAGAAAUGGUACAUGUGCAGGGAAGGUACAUGUACAGGGAGGUUAUAUGUGCAGGGAGGUUACAUGUACAAGGAAUUAGAAGGUACAUGUGCAUGGAAGUUACAUGUACAGGGAAUAAGAUGUGCAUGGAAGGUACAUGUACAGGGAAUUAGAUGUGCAUGGAAGGUACAUGUACAGGGAAUUAGAUGUUCAUGGAAGGUACAUGUACAGGGAGGUUAUAUGUGCAGGAAAGUUACAUGUACAGGGAAUUAGAUGUGCAUGGAAGGUACAUGUACAGGGAGGUUAUAUGUGCAGGAAAGUUACAUGUACAGGGAAUUAGAUGUGCAGGGAAGGUACAUGUCUAGGGAAGUUAUAUGUGCAGGAAAUGUACAGGGACGUUAGAUGUGAAGGUAAGUUAGAUGUGCAGAGAAGGAAUCUUCCCUGUCAAGUCUUGGAUUCCCAUGUUGCUUGCAUGUCAAGGGAGGAAUCUGUGUAAAUAAUAGGGUAUUUGGGGGAUUCCACACAUGCCAUAGCAACAGACAGUUGCAGUCAUCUGUCACCUGUCUGUUACAAGGGAAGGUGCCAGAGUUUUUGUUUGCAGGUAAUUCAACCCCCCCACUUCUUAAAAGUGAAGUGUGAUUCCCCGUGUUCACACGGCUUGACAUGCUCUGCCUGUAAUAUCCCUGUUCCCUAGACUGUACCACCUAGGUGUAAGGGGAAUCUGUCACCCUCCCUUCCACACGUCAGUAAAUAUUUCCAUCUUCUCUCCACCAUCAG